rnacentral:other from 8 species
UUAUAUUUUGCAAAUAUUUUGAGAGACAUUGAUUUUUCUCCCCGUGCUCCCCCGUUCUUCCCUGCGGAGUGCACUGCGCCGCCCAGCCCUGUCGCCCCCCGGAGGUGAUCCCUCCCUCCUGCCUGCCCGCCAGCCUGACCUGUGCCCGGCUCGCGGGCCGCAGCCUCGGCCCCGGCGCGCCCCCGGCAGCUCUCGGCGCGAUG